rnacentral:rRNA from 1 species
GACGAACGCUGGCGGCGUGCCUAAUACAUGCAAGUAGAACGCUGAAGCGAGGAGCUUGCUCUUCUUGGGUGAGUUGCGCACGGGUGAGUAACGCGUAGGUAACCUCCCUGGUAGCGGGGGAUAACUAUUGGAAACGAUAGCUAAUACCGCAUAAAAUUGAUUAUUGUAUGAUAAUUAAUUGAAAGAUGCAACUUGAUCACUACCAGAUGGACCUGCGUUGUAUUAGCUAGUUGGUGAGGUAACGGCUCACCAAGGCGACGAUACAUAGCCGACCGGAGAGGGUGAUCAGCCAGACUGGGAGUGAGACAAGGCCCAGACUCCUACAGGAGGCAGCAGGAGGGAAUCGGCGGCAAUGAGUGGAACACUGUGCGAGCAACGCCGCGGGAGGGAAGAGUGUUGUCGGAUCGUAAAGCUCUGUUGUAAGAGAAGAACGGGUGUGAGAGUGGAAAGUUCACACUGUGACGGUAUCUUACCAGAAAGGAACGGCUAACUACGUG